rnacentral:rRNA from 1 species
AUUUAUUUAGUAAAAGUUAAAUAUAAGUUUGAAAGUAUAAUAAUUUAUAUAUAUUAAGUGAAAUUUUAUAUAUAAUUAGAAUAUUUAUGAAAUUAAUUGAAGCUUAAAAAUUUUAUUAAUAAACUAGGAUUAGAUACCCUAUUAUUAAAAAUGUAGAUAAUAUGCUUAAGUAGUAUUAGUUAUGUUCUUUAAAUUUAAAAAAUUUGGCGGUAUUUUAGUCUAUUCAGAGGAACCUGUUCUAUAAUCGAUAAUCCACGAUGGACCUUACUUAAUUUAUUAGUUUAUAUAUCGUCGUUAUUAGAAUAUUUUAUUAGAAUAAUAAUUUUCUAAAAUUUUUAUAAAAAUUUAUAUCAGAUCAAGGUGUAGCUUAUAUUUAAGAAGUAAUGGGUUACAAUAAAUUUAUUUAUUAUGAAUUUAAUUAUGAAAAAAUUAUUGAAAUUGGAUUUGAUAGUAAAAUUAUAUAGA